rnacentral:rRNA from 1 species
CGACCGGCGCACGGGUGAGUAACGCGUAUGCAACCUGCCCGAUACCGGGGUAUAGCCCAUGGAAACGUGGAUUAACACCCCAUAGUACUUUUAUCCUGCAUGGGAUGUGAGUUAAAUGUUCAAGGUAUCGGAUGGGCAUGCGUCCUAUUAGUUAGUUGGCGGGGUAACAGCCCGCCAAGACGAUGAUAGGUAGGGGUUCUGAGAGGAAGGUCCCCCACAUUGGAACUGAGACACGGUCCAA